rnacentral:rRNA from 1 species
AUACGGAGGAUGCGAGCGUUAUCCGGAUUUAUUGGGUUUAAAGGGAGCGUAGGCGGGAGCUUAAGUCAGCGGUUAAAUGGUGCGGCUCAACCGUGCCCUGCCGUUGAAACUGGGUUUCUUGAGAGUGCAAGAGGCGGAUGGAAUUCAUGGUGUAGCGGUGAAAUGCUUAGAUAUCAUGAAGAACUCCGAUUGCGAAGGCAGUCCGCUGGGGCACGUCUGACGCUGAUGCUCGAAGGUGCGGGAAUCAAACAGGAUUAGAUACCCUGGUAGUCCGCACGGUAAACGAUGAUUACCCGCUGUCGGCGGCAGACAGUCGGCGGCCAAGCGAAAGCGAUAAGUAAUCCACCUGGGGAGUACGCCGGCAACGGUGAAACUCAAAGGAAUUGGCGGGG